AAAGCUGGGCUCGAACCAGGGCAGCUAGACAAUAUGUUCUUUCCCUGAGUGAAAUAUUGCUAUAAUUUCAUUAAAGUGACGUGGUAAUAUUUCAGGAUAAUUUCUUGUACAUUGGACUAAGCGUUCCUCUCUCAUGGAUGAGAGUACCUAAUGUAAUUUGUCAUCAUUUUUGUGCACUCUUGGAUUGCAGAACAUGAUAUCGUGAAAGAAAAAGAACGGAGAAAUAGUGCAGAGCAAAAAGACAUCUGUGGCUGUGUAAUUUGUCAUCAUUUUUGUGUGCACUCUUGGAUUGCAGAACAUGAUAUCAUGAAAGAAAAAGAACGGAGAAAUAGUGCAGAGCAAAAAGACAUCUGUGGCUGUGUAAUUUGUCAUCAUUUUUGUGCACUCUUGGAUUGCAGAACAUGAUAUCGUGAAAGAAAAAGAACGGAGAAAUAGUGCAGAGCAAAAAGACAUCUGUGGCUGUGUAAUUUGUCAUCAUUUUUGUGCACUCUUGGAUUGCAGAACAUGAUAUCAUGAAAGAAAAAGAACGGAGAAAUAGUGCAGAGCAAAAAGACAUCUGUGGCUGUGUAAUUUGUCAUCAUUUUUGUGCACUCUUGGAUUGCAGAACAUGAUAUCAUGAAAGAAAAAGAACGGAGAAAUAAUGCAGAGCAAAAAGACAUCUGUGGCUGGUAAUUCUUGUUUUAUAUUAACUUUAUUUCCACUAGAAAUGCUUGAAUGUUAUAAUUUGUACGUCCCUUUUCACAUGUUGCUUUAUAUUGGAGUUUUACUAGUUAUUUAUUUUACAUGAACGCUUCACAUUAUGUUUUAAUGUUUAGGGUAGCAUUUAUGCGUU